GCGUUUGACCUCAAAUCAGGUAGGA
rnacentral:rRNA from 1 species